UACGGAGGGAGCUAGCGUUGUUCGGAAUUACUGGGCGUAAAGCGCACGUAGGCGGCUUUUUAAGUCAGGGGUGAAAUCCCGGGGCUCAACCCCGGAACUGCCCUUGAAACUGGAGAGCUAGAAUCUUGGAGAGGCGAGUGGAAUUCCGAGUGUAGAGGUGAAAUUCGUAGAUAUUCGGAAGAACACCAGUGGCGAAGGCGGCUCACUGGCCCGGUACUGACGCUGAGGUGCGAAAGCGUGGGGAGCGAACAGG
rnacentral:rRNA from 1 species